UCUUUCUCUCCCUCUCAUGAUCACGUCUUCGCUUUCUCUCGUUCUCACGGUCAUGUUUUUUCUGUCAUCUCUCUCACGAUCAUGUGUGACUUCCUCCACUCUCAUGGUAUCACAACAUCGGGCACAGCACCUUAAUCAAAUAUGUUUGUUACGCCUUUUCCUAUUCACUUACGUUAUAUCUUAAUUUUUUCCCACAGCUUUUCU
rnacentral:lncRNA from 1 species